AGAGUUUGAUCCUGGCUCAGGACGAACGCUGGCGGCGUGCCUAAUACAUGCAAGUCGAGCGGAUCUUCUCCUUCGGGGGAAGGUUAGCGGCGGACGGGUGAGUAACACGUAGGCAACCUGCCCAUAAGACCGGGAUAACAUUCGGAAACGAAUGCUAAGACCGGAUACGCAAGCCUGGGGCAUCUUAGGCUUGGGAAACA
rnacentral:rRNA from 1 species